rnacentral:lncRNA from 1 species
CGACUUGGUCCACCCGGCUUCCAACAUAUGAAACUUCUUGCGUCUUCAUUAAAUUGUGCUAAUAUAAUGUGUGUUUCGUUUUGUUUUGUCCUGCCACAGGGGUGAAGUCUAUGUGGGAACACUGAACCUGCAACCGAGAUCGUAGAGAUUCGACAAUAUCACAAGAGGAUCAUACUUCUACUCCAUGAAAACUGUAACCUACUAGAGCUGAAAGAAAUAUAGAGCCUAUAAGAAGGAAAUGUAUGAGAUGCAACCAAUGUACAGUAAGCAACUUACCAUAUUUCUUUAUGACAUUGUUCCAAGAAUUAAUAAGUAUUCCAGUGAGCGUCUCAAAAAUGGAAUCAAGAGGUGAGGAAAGACAUCGCCCCAGUUCUGUAGAGGAUGCCUUCCUUUUCCUCGGGUUUUGUUGUGUGUCCUGCUUACCAAGCAUUGAUAGCAAUUCGCCGAUUGAUAGAUGAGAUGGUAACUAGCUGAAAACAGUAAUAAUUAAAACCCAAGAGCGAUUUUGCGACGCCCUGCUGUGAGCCGACCCUAGCAGUCAAGGCUUCGUAAAUCAGAUUUAUCUAUCAGGUAAAGUCACAGGAAAUGUUGUGGCAAAGGUAUGGCUUAAGAGAAAUCAUGUACCUAGAUGAUUUGUUGUCUAUACGAUUAGAUGGUGCUGUUCAUCUUCAAUUUUGUCAAAUUUGGCACCACUCCAGUCACCAACCAUACAUAAAAAAGUUUUAGUGAAGUCAAUGAAGCAAACAUUUUAAUAUUUCAUUCUAUCAAUAAAAGUGUAGUUUUGCUUCCGAUAAGACCUCCAUAAACAAUAAACACGGGUAAAGGAGAGUAUUGAUGGUUGGAAUGAGUGGUGGUAGCAGAAUGAUAUCUACAUACAUUGAUUAUAGGUACCAGCACCUCAUUUUUUUAUAAAAAAAUAUGUGCGAACUUGGAACUUUUUAAUAUGUGAGGA